AUUUAAAAAGGGCAUUUCAAACAAUUUGAUGAUAGAAAAUAAAUGUUUCUCUAAUCAAAUCAAUUUCUCAUAAGCAGAUUUUUUUUUCUUUUUGCUCACACAUCACUGUCUUCAUGAGAAUUUUCAAAUGUAAUUUACCCCUACACAGAGUAGACUAGUGGACAGUGUCCAGUAGACUUGUGUAGACCAGUGGACAGUGUCUAGUAGGCUUGUGUUAGUAAUGGAAAUCACAUUAUAAAAACUUGGCCAUUUCAUUCUGUCUCUCAUGCUUUGAUUCAAAUAAGACUUGAACUCAUUGUACUGAUUGUUAACUUGUUGACAUUUUAUUUCAUUUCUAUUGUCUUGUAUUCUUGUAAAUGUACUUUUGAAGUGUUUAAACUUUAAAGUAACACUUUCUGUUGUCUUGUAUUUAAGCCAGGGAAAUACAUCUCUGCUGUGUACAUUUUUUUUUUUAGAAUGUUUAUUUAAGGGGGUGAACACUCUGGCAUUAUUUUCUAUUGAACUCUUUAGAGUGUUCAGCAGUUUAUCUUGGGGAGGUAACUACUUAUUAAGCAAGUUAUCAUGGGGAGGUAACAGCUUGUUAAAUAUGUUAUAAUUGGGUGUUAGCUACUUGUUAAAUAUGUUAUAAUGGGGAGGUAACUACUUGUUAAAUAAGUUAUAAUGGGGAGGUAACUACUUGUUAAAUAAGUUAUAAUGGGGAGGUAACAACUUGUUAAACAAUCGGCAGAUAUGAUGUUUAAAUAAUAACAAUGGCAUAUAAUUUUAUGCUCAGCAAUUUAACAUAAAGGCUGUAUUGCUAGACCAAUUGCCAUAUAUUCUGUAAGAUUCUUUAAUGAAGAUAAGGUGGAGUGUGCCGGCACUGUAUAUCACCUAAGCUACGCAACCCAAGCUGUGAUCUACAAUGAUAAUAAUAUACAAAUAGAUAAUACAAUAUUGCUGAUAUGUAUGUUUAUAUGCAUUUGAGUGUGUAAUAUUAAGAUGGAAUGGACGGGCAUUGGGGCAUUGGCAUCGGGGCAUUGGUAUCGUGUGUUUUGUUUUGCUGUGCAUUUGUAAAACACGAUGUAACUGUAUUUUUUUACUCACACCAAUAAUGUUCAGUGGGUCCCAAUAUUGCUUGGCUCGCUGUUUGGUGACGGAUUUAAUCAUUGGUCAGAAAAGUUGUAGGAAUCAGAUCCAUCAUCUCUUUGUAGUUAGUACCAAUACUUUUUUUUAUUUAUUCAAUUGAUUUUUUUAAUUUUUCAAAUAAUUGACUUUUCAUCAAUAUAAGCUUGUUAGGGUGUUGUUGUUUUUUUUUGCGAUAGAGAAAAUCUAUAUCCUAUGUCUAAUUGUUCGUUGUUUUUUUUUCUUAGAUUAGAUAAAGCAAACAUACAUCUUGUGUCUAUUAGUUUAUGUUGGGUUUAUUUUUUAGAUGGAGCCAACCUACAACCUACAUCUUAUGACUUAUGUCAACAAUUUUUUUUUUGACAGUUUUACUAUAAGUUCCUUUAUUUGUCUCAUUGUAAAACCCAGGUUUAAGGAAGUUUAAGACUGUAUGUUAUUGUGCUGGCCACGCAAAUUAUUUUUUACCCCCUAAUAAACCAAAUAUUUAAAAAAAUAUGUAUGCAUUUGUCAAUACCUGGUAGGCAUUCAAUGAAUUCCAUAUUGUGAUAUUUCCUUGAUAUAAAUAUAUAUAUACACACUUAAAACCUCUAAACAUGUAUUCAUUAUAUCCUUUUUUUUGUAUACAUAUAAUUCAUGUUGAAUAGUUUGUACUAUAAACUAAGGGUUUGUUAUUCUAUGGCAUUCCUGUUAUAACAUUGUAAUCCAGUUACAUUUUAUUAUUGUUUAUUCAGUUGCUGAAUGACUUAUGUCAGCUGACUGACCAUCAAAAUGGAUCAGAUUGAGAAUUUCAGAUGUUUCACUUGCAAUAAACAGAUGAUAUUUUACUAGCAUAUUUCCAAUGGGGGCUUGGUGGCUGAGUUGUUAAGCACUUGGCUUCUGAACAUGGGAUUCUGGGUUCAAAUCUUGGUGAAGACUGGGAUUUUGGAUUUCAGAAUGUUCAGGGUACACCUGAGUCCACUUAACUGUAAUGGGUACCUGACUUAAGUUGGGGAAACUAAAGCCUGCUCGUUAACUGUUGGCAAAGAAAUAGAUGAACUUAACAUGAUCUGCCCUAUAGAUAGCUAGGUCUUAAAUGCAAACUUUACUGUAUUGUUAAUAUUUCAUUAUUUGAACAGAUUGGAGUCGGUUAGUGUAUAUGGAGUUGGUUAGUGUAUAGGCCUAUCAGUAUGAUCUGAUCAAUAGUUUUUCCCAUAUAGGUUGUUAAUGCUAUUUGAGGUUAUAUUUGUUUUGUUUCUUUUACUGGGACGGGAAGGUGAUAAAGUUUUUAUUUUUCAUACUUUGAUGGUCAGCUUCCAGUUCUAAUAAUAAAUUUAAAUCAAUUAAAGUUGAUGUCCUUUGAGGAUUGGGGCAUCCUGUGAGCAUUGGAUUUUGUCCCGUGAUUAGGACAGAAAAAAAAGACUUUUUUAGCCUUCGGUCUUUCCCUCCAUCAGAAUGAUCCAAUGUGUUCACGUCUGCCUGAGCUAGAGACACAUCAUUUAUUAAGUGCUGCCCUCUAUUCCAUGUGCUCCAGGCAGUGGUGAGGCCUACAGUGUGACCUCCCCCUUUGUUGGAGAAAUCAUUUCAGAUUUGAUCACCAGAUUGUAACUGUUGUUUACUUCGCUUGUUUUAUAUGAAGUCACUGCACUAAGGGUCAACAGUUGUUGUUUUGUACUAUUGUCCCGAGCUGAUGUCUUUCUGUGUAUCAUUGUAUCAAUAAAAUCAGAUCUGUCAACAACA
rnacentral:sRNA from 1 species